rnacentral:lncRNA from 1 species
CCACAGAUGGUUGAAGCUGGCCCUUUAUUUGAAGAAAUGACAAUAGAUGUUUGUGUGGAGGUUUAGUGUUUACGAAGCGAUCCACUAACACUAUCUCUUGGAAUCCUCACAACAGCAGUGGGGAGAAGGCCUUGCAGGCACAAUCCCUGUUACAGAUGUGGAAUCUGGGGCUCACAGUUUGGACAACUUGCUGGAGGUCAUCAGCUAGUCAGACAGAGCUGAGAUACAAGCGCAGGUCUCAGAACUCUACACCUGGGGUUUUCCUCUCUGCCUGGCACUUGGGGACAAGGUGAGGGGAUGGGCUACCCUAGCCACUGUUAUGGGUUGAAUUUUGUCCUCCUAAAAGAUGUGUUGAACUAUCUGGAUGUGACCUAUGGAUGUGGCCUAUUUGCAAAUUGAGUCUUUACAGAUGUAACCGUAUUAAGGUGAGAGCCCUAAGGUGGGCCUUAAUCCAAAAGACUGGUGUCCUCAUAAGAACAGGGAAAUUUGCUAGGCAUGGUGGCUCAUGCCUGUAAUCUUAGAAUUUUGGGAGGCCAAGACAGGAGGUUUGCUUGAGGCCAGGAGUUUGAGACCAGCCUAGCAACGUAGUGAGACUGCAUCUCUACAAUUAGAAAAAAAAUUUCUUAAUUACCAGGGUGUGGUGGCUGGCAUAUGCCUGAGAUUUCAGCUACUUAGGAGGCUGAGGCAGGAGGAUUGCUGGAGCCCAGGGGUUUGGGGCUGCAGUGAGCUAUGAUUGUGCCAUUAUACUUCAGCCUGGGCCACAGAGCGAGAACCUUACUCUAAAAGAAGAUGAACAAGAAGAAAGAAGGAGAAGGAAGAGGAGGAGGUGGAGGAGGAGGAGGUGGAGGAGGAGGAGGAGGAGGUGGAGGAGGACGAGGAGGAGGAGGAGGAGGAGGAGGAGGUGGAGGAGGGGGAAAAAAUUUGGACACAGGUGCACACAGGGAGGAGAAGGCCACGUGGAGACAGACACAGAGGGAAUGAGACCACGUGAGACGAAUCACGGUGAUGCUGCUUACAGCCAAGGAUCUCUGGGGCUGCCGGACGCAGGAGAAGCGGAGGAAGGACCCUCCGUUCAGGGCUUUGAAGGGAGCACGGCCAGCUCACACCCUGAGUUUAGACUUCCAGCCUCCAGAACGGCUGGAGGGCAGUUGCACGAUCUUGGCUCAUUGCAACCUCCACCUCCUGGGUUCAAGCCAUUCUCCUGCCUCAGCCUCCCGAGUAGCUGGGAUUACAAGGAUGUACCACCACUUCCGGCUACACAAGGAGACAGCGGCCACUCAGUUUCCAAACUGUUCACUGGAAUAAAGUCUCUUUCCUCCAAAUUCCUUGUCAGAUAACUUUUGUUCACACUUCAGAUUAUGUAGCUGCCCACAGGUGCCACAGCUGAGCUAUGGCCUUCAUUGCUGACUUUUUUUCCUGGGAACUGUCUUGCAUAAUUUCAAAACCAGAAUUGAAAUUAAUUCAUGGCAACAAUUUUUAUAUCUAAUUAAAUGUGUUUGCGUCAAUUAAUGUGAGAAACAACAAAUCGGUUUCGUUGCAAAGAGCUUGUGACCACGAGUUCAAAAGCCAGCUAAAAGCCCUACCUAAUAUUAUGAGCUUGAGCAAGUCAUCCCAUUUCCUGAAUGCUAGUUUCUUCAUCUGCAAACACGGGGUCCGAUUCAGAGGGUCUCAGAGCACCCCUCAGCUGUACACGCUUUGAUUUCUAGUGACAUCUAAGAAUGCAGCUGGUUGCUGUUUUUCCUUUUCCAAUAUUCCCUGGUCAGUACUUGGAUCACUGACUUUGAGUCCUUUACUGAAUAUCAGGCUCUAAUCCCAGGUCCCCUAGUCCCUUCCAUAGGUACAACCCUCCGACUUCCCUUUUCAGUUCAUACCUACAAGGAGGGUACGCUAAUGAGAGCUGGGC